GGGGUUGUAGCUCAGUGGUAGAGUGUAUGCUUUGCAAGGAUGAUGUAGCGGGUUCCAUCCCUGGCAUCUCCA
rnacentral:tRNA from 1 species